UGAGAGGUGACCGSCCACACUGGGACUGAGAUACGCCCAGAUCYUACGGGAGGCAGCAGUGGGAAUAUUGCACAAUGGGCGCAAGCCUGAUGCAGCGACGCCGCGUGAGGGAUGACGGCCUUCGGGUUGUAAACYUCUUUCAAUAGGGACGAAGCGCAAGUGACGGUACCUAUAGAAGAAGGACCGGCCAACUACGUGCCAGCAGCCGCGGUAAUACGUAGGGUCCGAGCGUUGUCCGGAAUUACUGGGCGUAAAGAGCUCGUAGGUGGUUUGUCGCGUUGUUCGUGAAAACUCACAGCUUAACUGUGGGCGUGCGGGCGAUACGGGCAGACUAGAGUACUGCAGGGGAGACUGGAAUUCCUGGUGUAGCGGUGGAAUGCGCARAUAUCAGGAGGAACACCGGUGGCGAAGGCGGGUCUCUGGGCAGUAACUGACGCUGAGGAGCGAAAGCGUGGGGAGCGAACAGGAUUAGAUACCCUGGUAGUCCACGCCGUAAACGGUGGGUACUAGGUGUGGGUUUCCUUCCUUGGGAUCCGUGCCGUAGCUAACGCAUUAAGUACCCCGCCUGGGGAGUACGGCCGCAAGGCUAAAACUCAAAGGAAUUGACGGGGGCCCGCACAAGCGGCGGAGCAUGUGGAUUAAUYCGAUGCAACGCGAAGAACCUUACCUGGGUUUGACAUGCACAGGACGACUGCAGARAUGUGGUUUCCCUUGUGGCCUGUGUGCAGGUGGUGCAUGGCUGUCGUCNAGCUCGUGUCGUGAGAUGUUGGGUUAAGUCCCGCAACGAGCGCAACCCUUGUCUCAUGUUGCCAGCACGUUAUGGUGGGGACUCGUGAGAGACUGCCGGGGUCAACUCGGAGGAAGGUGGGGAUGACGUCAAGUCAUCAUGCCCCUUAUGUCCAGGGCUUCACACAUGCUACAAUGGCCGGUACAAAGGGCUGCGAUGCCGUGAGGUGGAGCGAAUCCUUUCAAAGCCGGUCUCAGUUCGGAUCGGGGUCUGCAACUCGACCCCGUGAAGUCGGAGUCGCUAGUAAUCGCAGAUCAGCAACGCUGCGGUGAAUACGUUCCCGGGCCUUGUACACACCGCCCGUCACGUCAUGAAAGUCGGUAACACCCGAAGCCGGUGGCCUAACCCUUGUGGAGGGAGCCGUCSAAGGUGGGAUCGGCGAUUGGGACGAAGUCGUAACAAGGUAGCCGUACCGGARGUGCGGCUGGAUCACCUC
rnacentral:rRNA from 1 species